UACAGAGGUGGCAAGCGUUGUUCGGAAUUACUGGGCGUAAAGGGCGCGUAGGCGGUUCGUUAAGUCCUGUGUGAAAUCCCCCGGCUCAACUGGGGAACUGCACAGGAAACUAGCGGGCUUGAGUUCGGGAGAGGUGAGUGGAAUUCCCAGUGUAGAGGUGAAAUUCGUAGAUAUUGGGAAGAACACCGGUGGCGAAGGCGGCUCACUGGCUCGUAUCUGACGCUCAGGCGCGACAGCGUGGGGAUCAAACAGG
rnacentral:rRNA from 1 species